GAUGAACGCUAGCGGCAGGCCUAACACAUGCAAGUCGAGGGGGAAGUUACUUUCGGGUGACUGAGACCGGCGUACGGGUGCGUAACGCGUAUACAAUCUGCCUUUCACUGGGGGAUAGCCCGAAGAAAUUUGGAUUAAUACCCCAUAGUAUAUAGGGACGGCAUCGUUUUUAUAUUAAAGCUUAGGUGGUGAAAGAUGAGUAUGCGUUCUAUUAGCUAGUUGGAGAGGUAACGGCUCCCCAAGGCGAUGAUAGAUAGGGGUUCUGAGAGGGAUGUCCCCCACACUGGUACUGAGAUACAGACCAGACUCCUACGGGAGGCAGCAGUGAGGAAUAUUGGACAAUGGUCGGAAGACUGAUCCAGCCAUGCCGCGUGCAGGAUGAAGGUCUUAUGGAUUGUAAACUGCUUUUGUAAGGGAAGAAUAAGGGCUACGCGUAGUUUGAUGACGGUACCUUACGAAUAAGCAGCGGCUAACUCCGUG
rnacentral:rRNA from 1 species